UCCUGGUAGACCAAGGCCUUGCAGAUCAACUU
rnacentral:piRNA from 2 species